UCAGACACUCAACCAACUGAGGCACCCAGACGCCCCUGCUGGUGCCUGAACAGGGAACCUGAAGGGGGACGUGUGCAGCACCACUGAAGAAGGGCCCAGGGAACCGAAGGAAACUUUGGAGCUGGGGAAGCUCAUCCUUCAGGAUUUCUGCAGGUUCUUCUACUGCCAGAUGAUAGAGAAAAAUUUGCCUGUUCUGUAUCUUCAGAUAAUCAUAUGGUUCCUGUGUGAUGCCAUCCAUGGAAAGGGCUUCUGCCAGAUCAAGGCCACCAGUGGUUACCCAGUCACCAGUUGAAACCCAGGCAUGAGCUGAUCCAAGCAACCGCAGUUCGACAUGACCCCACCAAAGAGUUUCACAGAUGUCCAUUGAGAAACCAAUAAUUGUGCCCAAUGCACCACACCCUGCUCCUGAGGAGCAUUAGGACCUCUUAGCCUCCUACUCGGGGACAAGUUAAGAGGUUGAUGCAUGCUGCUGAAAAAAUCUUGAUGCAGACUCGCAGCCCACAAACUCCUGCUCACCUUUUCCUUGUGAUGCUCAUGGUUAUCACUACUACAGUAAGGGCUGAUAACUAUAUUUACUGGGCUUAUAUCCCUCAUCCACCACUCAAUUGGCAUAAGUUGGUACAACUCCCCCGUGCCGGUAUAUACAAAUGACACUGAAUGGACACCUGGGCCAUUUGACAGCAGAGAAACACAUAGGCCCAAUGAAGAAGGUACUGUUAUGGAUAAUUAUGCUAUAGGGACUGAAGGUCCUCCUAUAUGUUUUGGUUACAGGAAACACUGCCUCAAAAGUAAGCCUCAAGCAUGGCGAUCUAUUAUUAAAAAGGGGGCCCAGCACAAACCUAUUUUCUUACUCUCAGCCCAUUCUCUGAUUGGCUCCAAUCUUAAUGACACUCCUCCAAUGCUUCUGUCUUGUGCUACUCGUACAUUGUCAGAAUGGGAUGGAUGGGUGACUUGGGAAGCAUGUAGAGGGGAGAUAGGGUGAGUUCUUUUAAAUACUUCCUAUGGAAGCAUCGUUGAUUGGAGCCUUCUGGGCUCAGUUCCCCUUAAAAACUCAUUACAAAAUCUACGAUGGUGUGUUCAUAAUCAUACUAUCAGCACCACUGCUAAUGGCUCAGUCGUUUGGCAUGGUGAGGGAUUUUCUGCGCCCAGCCCUCAUUUACGACAAGGACCAUUACAAAAGCAUAUAAGGAAAUGAACUGCUGCCCUCCACCCUUUACAUACCUGCAAGGGCACAUAUUAUAAAAACAGCCCCAGCACUAUUUCUACUCUAUCCUUCACGGUCAAUAGUACCCGGUACAUAUGGGCUUGUGUCCGUUUGCCAUACGUACUAUUAAAAGCACAGAUAGUUUGGAAUGAUGCUGAGGCCCUUAUAACUUGUGUUAACUGCUCAUUAUACACCUGUCUUAAUUCUAUACCCUUUACUAUGUCAUCCAAAAGCUUAUAUUUACUUAGAGCAUGCACUGGCCUGUGGCUGCUGGUUUGCAUGUGUCAACCAUGACAACAUUCUCCAGAAAUGUAUCUGAUGGACCAGGCUCUACAGCGAGUUCUUCACUGAUCCCAAAGGUUUGCUGGAAUACUUGUUGCAGCUCUCAUAUGCAUUAUUGCUGUGACUGCCACCAUAGCCACUGCAGCUGUCUCAUUGCACCAAUCUGUGCAGAUGGUACAAUUUGUGCAACAGCAUGAGAAAUUGCACCACCUUGGAAGACACAGCAGGACAUUGACAGUAGAUGGUCCAGUGAGAUUGCAGACCUACAACAGGCUGUGAUAUUGCUGGGGAUCAAUUAGUAAGCCUACAAAGGCAAAGAUCAUUAAAAUGUUAGUGGAACACUACACCAAUGUGUAACCCCAUUGCUGUUUAAUAACACUAAAUUUCCAUGGAAUGGCGUUAAGAGACACUUGCUCAGACAAUCUAAUGUGUCCAUGGACAUUUAACAUCUGCAAGCAGGGAUAUAGGAGACUUCCAAAACAAAUCUGGACAUGUUAUCUGGUUCUAAGAUCUUAGAAAGCAUAUCAGAGGGAUUGGGAAAAUUAAAUGCUAUAGAGCAUAUUGGGAUUUUUAGUUUCUCUACUGCUAUUCUGUUUGUAUUAAUAUGCAGUGUAUUUAUCUUUGCCUGUGCAGUCUGGUGCCAGGGACAAUGAGCCUGUCAACGGACUGACAGCUUGGGUUAUACAAUGUCCUCCUACAGCCCAUUGUAUACAAACAAAAAGGGGGAGAUGUUGGAGAACAAGAAGCCGGAGGCACCGUAAGGAUGUCUUGAAGGAAAGGGACAGAGCAGCGAGGAACCGAAAGCAGUUUUAUCCCCAGGACGGAAGGCCACCGGGACUGCUCAUUUUCUCCAGAAGGACAUCAUACAGGUGGCCAGGACUGGGGAUAAGAAUGUUUUGUCUGGCACCAGAUGUACUCAUGACCCACUAUGGAAUACACUGCAGGUGCACAACCUGUCAAGAUGCCACAUACUAUGUUGUAAUGGCUUGCUGUUAUCAGACAAUUUGCAAAAAUAAAAGAGGCUUGAGCCAGGGGACCAAUGCUUUGGCUCCUGGAGAGUCUCA